AGUCACUGACAUUAGAUACCCCCGUAGUCCAGGGUGUAAACGCUGCAGACUUGGUGUUGGGAACCCUUCGGGGGUGCUCAGUGCCGGAGAGAAGUUGUUAAGUCUGCUACUUGGGAGUACGUCCGCAAGGAUGAAACUUAAAGGAAUUGGCGGGGGAGCACCGCAACGGGAGGAGCGUGCGGUUUAAUUGGAUUCAACGACCGAAAACUCACCAGCAGCGACUGUUACAUGAAAGUCAGGUUGAUGACCUUACUAGAUUUUCAG
rnacentral:rRNA from 1 species